UACGGAGGGGGCUAGCGUUAUUCGGAAUUACUGGGCGUAAAGGGCGCGUAGGCGGCCCGGUAAGUCAAAGGUGAAAUCCCUCGGCUCAACUGAGGAACUGCGUUUGAAACUGGCGGGCUUGAGUCCGGGAGGGGGUAGCGGAAUUCCAGGUGUAGCGGUGAAAUGCGUAGAUAUCGGGAGGAACACCGGUGGCGAAGGCGGCUACCUGGACCGGUUCUGACGCUGAGGCGCGAAAGCCUGGGUAGCAAAC
rnacentral:rRNA from 1 species